AGUCGAGCGGGGUAUGGGGGCAACCUCAUAUUCAGCGGCGGACGGGUGAGUAAUGCAUCGGAACGUAUCCCGUAGUGGGGGACAACCCAGCGAAAGCUGGGCUAAUACCGCAUAUGCUCUGAGGAGGAAAGCAGGGGACCUGGAAGGGCCUUGUGCUAUGGGAGCGGCCGAUGUCCGAUUAGCUGGUUGGUGGGGUAAAGGCUUACCAAGGCGACGAUCGGUAGCUGGUCUGAGAGGAUGAUCAGCCACACUGGGACUGAGACACGGCCCAGACUCCUACGGGAGGCAGCAGUGGGGAAUUUUGGACAAUGGGGGCAACCCUGAUCCAGCCAUGCCGCGUGCGGGAAGAAGGCCUUCGGGUUGUAAACCGCUUUUGGCCGGGAAGAAAAGGCUCCGGCUAAUACCCGGGGCUAUUGACGGUACCGGCAGAAUAAGCACCGGCUAACUACGUGCCAGCAGCCGCGGUAAUACGUAGGGUGCGAGCGUUAAUCGGAAUUACUGGGCGUAAAGCGUGCGCAGGCGGUUGGUUAAGUCUGAUGUGAAAGCCCCGGGCUCAACCUGGGAAUGGCAUUGGAAACUGCUUACUGGAGUGUGGCAGAGGGGGG
rnacentral:rRNA from 1 species